rnacentral:miRNA from 2 species
AGGCCGUGGUUCUUGCAAAUACG